AUUAAAAUAGUAAUGUUAUCUUUUCUUAGAUACAUCGAAAUAUUGGCGUCAUCUGACACAGUUACUGAAGCUUUGUUAUACUGUAAGAGUGAUGUCAUCAGGUCACAAUUAUUGAGCAAGUCGUGUUAAGAGCUGGGCCUCUCCUCCGGGUUGUCUGCCCAGCAGCACUCCAUCAGGUGGUACAGACCACUCGGACAUUCAGGCGACUUCUGAACCUUCGGCCGGAAUGGAGGGCUUUCUCUCCGGACAACAUGAGACACAAUAUCUAUAACAACCAAAAUAAUGACGUCCUGAAAUGAAACAUUGAACACAGAAUGAAUGCAUGAAAGAAGUCAAGAAAAUAGCAUUUUUACUACAGCUGAGUAUUGCAGUUUUAUUUAUAUAUGUUGACUAAUGUUAUUACAAACUGCCAGAUAAAAAUACAAUAUUUUUGUUAUUUCCAAAUAAAACUUCCUUUAUUUUUUUACGUCAGGCCAAAAUUAUAUUAUUGACAAACAAAGGAGCAAAUGCCUUGA